rnacentral:rRNA from 1 species
AUUAAUAAGCGGAGGAAAAGAAACUAACCAGGAUUCCCCUAGUAACGGCGAGUGAAGCGGGAAGAGCCCAGCACCGAAUCGCACGCCUCACCGGCGUUGCGAACUGUGGUGUUUAGGACGAGCGCAUGCGCGGCGAGACGGCGUCAGAGUCCUCCUGAUCGGGGCUUUGCCAGAGCGGGUGUCAGCCCUCUACGGCGCCGGAUCGACGUGCCCGCCACGUCCUCGGAGUCGGGUUGUUUGAGAAUGCAGCCCAAAGCGGGUGGUAAACUCCAUCUAAGGCUAAAUACAGACACGAGUCCGAUAGCGAACAAGUACCGUGAGGGAAAGUU